rnacentral:rRNA from 1 species
GUGUGGACGCCAGUCUGCAUGGAGCCGACCUUGAAAUACCACCCUUUAAUGUUUGAUGUUCUAACGUUGGCCCCUAAUCGGGGUUGCGGACAGUGUCUGGUGGGUAGUUUGACUGGGGCGGUCUCCUCCUAAAGAGUAACGGAGGAGCACGAAGGUUGGCUAAUCCUGGUCGGACAUCAGGAGGUUAGUGCAAUGGCAUAAGCCAGCUUGACUGCGAGCGUGACGGCGCGAGCAGGUGCGAAAGCAGGUCAUAGUGAUCCGGUGGUUCUGAAUGGAAGGGCCAUCGCUCAACGGAUAAAAGGUACUCCGGGGAUAACAGGCUGAUACCGCCCAAGAGUUCAUAUCGACGGCGGUGUUUGGCACCUCGAUGUCGGCUCAUCACAUCCUGGGGCUGAAGUAGGUCCCAAGGGUAUGGCUGUUCGCCAUUUAAAGUGGUACGCGAGCUGGGUUUAGAACGUCGUGAGACAGUUCGGUCCCUAUCUGCCGUGGGCGCUGGAGAACUGAGGGGGGCUGCUCCUAGUACGAGAGGACCGGAGUGGACGCAUCACUGGUGUUCGGGUUGUCAUGCCAAUGGCACUGCCCGGUAGCUAAAUGCGGAAGAGAUAAGUGCUGAAAGCAUCUAAGCACGAAACUUGCCCCGAGAUGAGUUCUCCCUGACUCCCUGAGAGUCCUGAAGGAACGUUGAAGACGACGACGUU